rnacentral:rRNA from 1 species
UACGGGGGGAGCAAGCGUUGUUCGGAUUUAUUGGGCGUAAAGAGCGCGUAGGCGGUCCGAUAAGUCGGCUGUGAAAGUCAGGGGCUCAACCCUUGGAAGCCGGCCGAUACUGUCGGACUAGAGUCCGGAAGAGGCGAGUGGAAUUCCCGGUGUAGCGGUGAAAUGCGCAGAUAUCGGGAGGAACACCAAUGGCGAAGGCAGCUCGCUGGGACGGUACUGACGCUGAGGCGCGAAAGCGUGGGGAGCAAACAGG